CUCUUCGAUUUUAGCGGCGGACGGGUGAGUAACACGUGGGCAACCUGCCCGGCUCAUCGGGAUAACUCCGGGAAAGCGGUGCUUAUACCGAAUAAUUUUCGCCACCUCCUGGUGGCGUACGGAAAUACGGUUUCGGCUGUCACUGCAGGAUGGGCCCGCGGCGCAUUAGCUAGUUGGUGGGGUAACGGCCCCCCAAGGCGACGAUGCCUAACCGACCUGAGAGGGUGAUCGGCCACGAUGGGACUGACACACGGCCCAGACUCCUACGGGAGGCAACAAUAGGGAAUCUUCCGCAAUGGACAAAAGUCUGACCGACCAACGCCACGAGAGUGACCAAGGUUUUCGGAUCUUAAAACUCUGUUGAGAGGGAAGAACAAGUACCAGCUAACUACUGGUACCUUGACGGUACCUCACCAGAAAGCCACGGCUAACUACGUGCCACCAUCCGCGGAAAUACUUAGGUGGCAAACGUUGUCCGGAAUUAUUGGGCGUAAAGCGCGCGCAGGCGGUCCCUUAAGUCUGAUGUGAAAGGCCACGGCUCAACCGUAGAGGGUCAUUGGAAACUGGAGGACUUGAGUGCACAAGAAGAAAGUGGAAUUCCACGUGUAACGGUGAAAUGCGUAGAGAUGUGCAGGAACACUACUGGCGAAGGCGACUUUCUGGUCUGUAACUGACGCUGAUGCGCUAAAGCGUGGGGAGCAAACAUGAUUAUAUACCCUGGUAGUCCGCGCCGUAUACGAUGAUUGCUAAGUGUAACGGGGUUUCUGCCCCUUACUGCUGGAGCUAACGCAUUAAACACUCCACCUGGAGGAGUACUGACGCAAG
rnacentral:rRNA from 1 species